GGGAUUGCCCCAGUAACGGCGAGUGAAGCGGCAACAGCUCAAAUUUGAAAUCUGGCCCCCCCGCGGGCCCGAGUUGUAAUUUGCAGAGGAUGCUUUCGGCGCGGCGCCUUCCGAGUGCCCUGGAACGGGACGCCAUAGAGGGUGAGAGCCCCGUCUGGUCGGACGCCCAGCCUCUGUAAAGCUCCUUCGACGAGUCGAGUAGUUUGGGAAUGCUGCUCUAAACGGGAGGUAUAUGUCUUCCAAAGCUAAAUACCGGCCAGAGACCGAUAGCGCACAAGUAGAGUGAUCGAAAGAUGAAAAGCACUUUGAAAAGAGGGUUAAACAGUACAUGAAAUUGUUGAAAGGGAAGCGCUUGUGACCAGACUCGGGCGCGGCGAAUCACCCGGCGUUCUCGCCGGUGCACUUCGACGCGCCCGGGCCAGCAUCAGCUCGCCGCGGGGGACAAAGGCGUCGGGAACGUGGCUCCCCAGGGAGUGUUAUAGCCCGGCGCGCAACGCCCCGCGGCGGACUGAGGUUCGCGCGUCCGCAAGGAUGCUGGCGUAAUGGUCACCAGUGACCCGUCUUGAAACACGGACCAAGGAGUCGUCCUCGUAUGCGAGUGUUCGGGUGUCAAACCCCUACGCGCAAUGAAAGUGAACGCGGGUGAGAGCCUCGCGGCGCAUCAUCGACCGAUCCUGAUGUUCUCGGAUGGAUUUGAGUAGGAGCAUACGGGGCCGGACCCGAAAGAAGGUGAACUAUGCCUGUGUAGGGUGAAGCCAGAGGAAACUCUGGUGGAGGCUCGCAGCGGUUCUGACGUGCAAAUCGAUCGUCAAACAUGGGCAUGGGG
rnacentral:rRNA from 1 species